rnacentral:rRNA from 1 species
GCCUACGGGGGGCAGCAGUAGGGAAUUUUCGUCAAUGGGCGCAAGCCUGAACGAGCAAUGCCGCGUGAACGAGGAAGGUCUUCGGAUCGUAAAGUUCUGUUGAAGGGGAAAAAGAGCGGAGAGAGGAAAUGGUCUCCGAUUGAUAUUACCCUUCGAGGAAGUCACGGCUAACUACGUGCCAGCAGCCGCGGUAAUACGUAGGUGGCGAGCGUUAUCCGGAAUGAUUGGGCGUAAAGGGUGCGUAGGCGGCCUGCUAAGUCUGGAGGGAAAGGUACCGGCUCAACCGGUACAGGCUCUGGAACCUG